UGCAAAUGAUGCUUUCUCACGAUGGUCUUCGUAGCUCACAAGGCUUUGACGAAAAUGCCGCAAGGCAUAACUGAUGCAACUCU
ensembl:snoRNA small nucleolar RNA SNORD35